GCAGGCAAAGUAAUUCGGUUGUACUUCGGUCUCCAAAACCGUAGGCUCAGGGUUCAAGUCCUUGUGCCCCUGCCA
rnacentral:tRNA from 1 species